AAUGACAUCAACACCCUAUAUCAGGUGUGCAUAAUUAUUAGGCAACUUCCUUUCCUUUGGCAAAAUGGGUCAAAAGAAGGACUUGACAGGCUCAGAAAAGUCAAAAAUAGUGAGAUAUCUUGCAGAGGGAUGCAGCACUCUUAAAAUUGCAAAGAUUCUGAAGCGUGAUCAUCGAACAAUCAAGCGUUUCAUUCAAAAUAGUCAACAGGGUCGCAAGAAGCGUGUGGAAAAACCAAGGCGCAAAAUAACUGCCCAUGAACUGAGAAAAGUCAAGCGUGCAGCUGCCACGAUGCCACUUGCCACCAGUUUGGCCAUAUUUCAGAGCUGCAACAUCACUGGAGUGCCCAAAAGCACAAGGUGUG
rnacentral:lncRNA from 1 species